rnacentral:rRNA from 1 species
AUUGAACGCUGGCGGCAGGCUUAACACAUGCAAGUCGAGCGGGGGAAGGUAGCUUGCUACUGGACCUAGCGGCGGACGGGUGAGUAAUGCUUAGGAAUCUGCCUAUUAGUGGGGGACAACAUCUCGAAAGGGAUGCUAAUACCGCAUACGUCCUACGAGAGAAAGCAGGGGAUCUUCGGACCUUGCGCUAAUAGAUGAGCCUAAGUCGGAUUAGCUAGUUGGUGGGGUAAAGGCCUACCAAGGCGACGAUCUGUAGCGGAUCUGAGAGGAUGAUCCGCCACACUGGGACUGAGACACGGCCCAGACUCCUACGGGAGGCAGCAGUGGGGAAUAUUGGACAAUGGGGGGAACCCUGAUCCAGCCAUGCCGCGUGUGUGAAGAAGGCCUUAUGGUUGUAAAGCACUUUAAGCGAGGAGGAGGCUACUUUAGUUAAUACCUAGAGAUAGUGGACGUUACUCGCAGAAUAAGCACCGGCUAACUCUGUGCCAGCCGCCGCAGUAA